UACGAAGGGGGCUAGCGUUGCUCGGAAUGACUGGGCGUAAAGGGCGCGUAGGCGGACGGCUUUGUCGGGCGUGAAAUUCCAGGGCUUAACCUUGGGGCUGCGUUCGAGACGGGUUGUCUAGAGUUUGGAAGAGGGUCGUGGAAUUCCCAGUGUAGAGGUGAAAUUCGUAGAUAUUGGGAAGAACACCGAUGGCGAAGGCAGCCCCCUGGGCUAACACUGACGCUGAGGCACGAAAGCGUGGGGAGCAAACAGG
rnacentral:rRNA from 1 species